AACGCGAAGAACCUUACCUAGACUUGACAUAUAGUAGACCGGUACGGAAACGUACUUUCCCGCAAGGGCUGCUAAACAGAUGCUGCAUGGCUGUCGUCAGCUCGUGCCGUGAGGUGUUGGGUUAAGUCCCGCAACGAGCGCAACCCUUGUCAUUAGUUGCCAGCACGUAAUGGUGGGAACUCUAAUGAGACUGCCUGGGUUAACCAGGAGGAAGGUGAGGAUGACGUCAAGUCCGCAUGGCUCUUACGUCUAGGGCUACACACGUGCUACAAUGGCUGGUACAAUAGGCAGCUAUACCGAAAGGUGGAGCAAAUCCUCUAAAGCCAGCCCCAGUUCGGAUUGAGGUCUGCAACUCGACCUCAUGAAGUUGGAAUUGCUAGUAAUGGCGUGUCAGCAAUAUCGCCGUGAAUACGUUCCCGGGCCUUGUACACACCGCACUACUA
rnacentral:rRNA from 1 species